rnacentral:rRNA from 1 species
UACGUAGGGUGCAAGCGUUAAUCGGAAUUACUGGGCGUAAAGCGUGCGCAGGCGGUUAUGUAAGACAGGUGUGAAAUCCCCCGGGCUUAACCUGGGAACUGCAUUUGUGACUGCAUAGCUAGAGUACGGUAGAGGGGGAUGGAAUUCCGCGUGUAGCAGUGAAAUGCGUAGAUAUGCGGAGGAACACCGAUGGCGAAGGCAAUCCCCCUGGACCUGUACUGACGCUCAUGCACCGAAAGGCGUGGGGGAGCAAACGAGGAUU